rnacentral:tRNA from 1 species
GGGGAGGUGGCUCAGUGGGAGAGUGCUUGCCUGGUAUGCACGAAGCCCUGGGUUCGAUUCCCUCAGCCCCA